UACGGAGGGUGCAAGCGUUGUCCGGAAUCAUUGGGCGUAAAGCGCACGUAGGCGGCUCUUUAAGUCUCUUGGUGAAAGGCUGGGGCUCAACCCCAUGCAUGCCGGGGAUACUGGGGAGCUGGAGACAGGUAGAGGCCAGCGGAAUUCCGGGUGUAGCGGUGGAAUGCGUAGAGAUCGGGAGGAACAUCAGUGGCGAAGGCGGCCAUCUGGGACAACACUGACGCUGAAGCACGCAAGCGUGGGGAGCAAACAGG
rnacentral:rRNA from 1 species